rnacentral:rRNA from 1 species
UACGUAGGGUGCGAGCGUUGUCCGGAAUUAUUGGGCGUAAAGAGCUUGUAGGCGGUCUGUCACGUCUGCUGUGAAAAUCCGGGGCUCAACCCCGGACUUGCAGUGGGUACGGGCAGACUAGAGUGUGGUAGGGGAGACUGGAAUUCCUGGUGUAGCGGUGAAAUGCGCAGAUAUCAGGAGGAACACCGAUGGCGAAGGCAGGUCUCUGGGCCAUUACUGACGCUGAGAAGCGAAAGCAUGGGGAGCGAACAGG